CUCUGGAUGGAAUUGCUAGAAGUCAAAGUGAUGAUAGAAUUAUACAACAGUGAAGUAUGCUUCUUUUUCCUUUUUUGGGCAUAAGAUGUGCUAGUUGUAGAGGUUAACUGGUGUUGACAUGUCAAUAAACUCUCAGAUGACUAAGAAAUGAUGGCUUUUAGAGGACAUACCUUAUUAUCACAGAAAUGCUUCUCCCCAUGUUCAUAGUUCUUUGACUGGAUCUUGAGUCUCCUAAUCUGCAGAAUAUUCCAUAAAAAAUGGAGGAUUCCACAAGAACGAAAGAAAGUUAUUCAAUUCACUCAUUAUGCUCACCUUGAAGAAAUACACAUCUCCACCGGUGAAAUCUUGAUCGGUGAGCUGUGGCAUUUGAACAGAAAAUUUUCUGUACUAUUGCUUCAUCUGAUUACUGCCUUCCAGUUAAACACGGAU
rnacentral:lncRNA from 1 species